rnacentral:piRNA from 1 species
UUCUUUCUUGAUGGAGAGCAGCAAC